GAAAGUAAACAAGGGCGCAUGGAGGAUGCCUAGGCUCUCGGAGGCGAAGAAGGACGUGAUAAGCUGCGAAAAGUUACGGUAAGGCGCAAAUAGCCCUAGACCCGUAAAUAUCCGAAUGGGGCAACCCGGCCAGCAAUGGCCAUACCGCCAAGCGGUAAGCCAACGCGGGGAACUGAAACAUCUAAGUACCCGCAGGAAAAGAAAAUAACAAUGAUUCCGCCAGUAGUGGCGAGCGAACGCGGAACAGCCCAAACCACCCGUGUUACGGCACGGGUGGGGUAGAAGGAUCCACGAUACGGCAAGAAAUAAGUUAGCAGAAUACGAUGGAAAUCGUAGCCAAAGACGGUGACAGCCCGGUACGCGAAAACCGACAGAAGCCCAGUGGACACCUGAGUAACCCAGGACACGAGAAAUCCGGGGCGAAUCAGCGGGGCCCAUCCCGUAAGGCUAAAUACUCCCGAGAGACCGAUAGCGAACCAGUACUGUGAAGGAAAGGUGAAAAGAACCUCGAACAGAGGAGUGAAAGAGACCCUGAAACCAUGCGCCUACAAGCGGUCGGAGCAUGUUAAAAUGUGACGGCGUGCCUUUUGCAUAAUGAACCUACGAGUUACUCUCGCUGGCAAGGUUAAGCGAUUCAGUCGCGCAGCCGAAGCGAAAGCAAGUCCGAACAAGGCGUACAGUCAGCGGGAGUAGACGCGAAACCAAGUGAUCUACCCUUGGUCAGGUUGAAGGUUGGGUAACACCAACUGGAGGACCGCACCGAUAAGCGUUGAAAAGCUUACGGAUGAACUGAGGGUAGGAGUGAAAGGCCAAUCAAACUUGGAGAUAGCUCGUACUCCCCGAAAUGCAUUUAGGUGCAGCCUCGAAGCAGAGUGAUAGAGGUAGAGCGACUGAUAAGAUGCGAGGGCUUCACCGCCUAUCAAGUCUUGACAAACUCCGAAUACUAUCACUUGAUCUUUGGGAGUGAGGGCAUGGGUGCUAAGGUCCAUGUCCGAAAGAGGAACAACUCAGACCACCAGCUAAGGUCCCGAAAUAAGGGCUAAGUUGAAUAAACGAAGUAAAACUGCAAAGACAGCUAGGAUGUUGGCUUGGAAGCAGCCAUUCAUUUAAAGAGUGCGUAACAGCUCACUAGUCGAGGAGUUUUGCAUGGAUAAUAAUCGGGCAUAAGCCCUUUACCGAAGCUGUGGAUGUCGUAAGACAUGGUAGGGGAGCAUUCCGGCGGCGACGAAGGCCGUCCUCGAGGACGACUGGAGCUUUCGGAAAAGCAAAUGUAGGUAUAAGUAACGAUAAAGGGGGCGUGAAACCCCCUCGCCAUAAGACUAAGGAUUCCUGAUCAACGCUAAUCGGAUCAGGGUAAGUCGGGCCCUAAGGCGCAGCCGAACGGCGUAGCCGAUGGAAGAAACGGUAAAGAUUCCGUUACUGGAUAUAGGAGCGAUGUGGAGACGGAGAAGUGACACACCCGCCUGCCGACGGAAGCGCAGGUUAAAGGAAGUAGGUAAACGCCGGGUAGGCAAAUCCGCCCAGCGUGCCGAAGCUGACAGUAUCGAGAGCCCCCGGGCAAUCGAAUAGCGGUGGUAAUCAGGCUCCCAAGAAAAUCCGCUAAGCAAAUUCUAUAUCCACCCGUACCCCAAACGGACACACGUAGUCGGGUAGAAUAUACCAAGGCGCUCGAAAGACUCACGGUUAAGGAACUAGGCAAAUUGACCCUGUAACCUCGGGAAAAAGGGUCCCCAGUAAGAUGGGGCGCAGAGAAUAGGUCCAGGCAACUGUUUAACAAAAACACAGGGCUGUGCAAAAUUUCAAGAUGAAGUAUACAGCCUGACACCUGCCCGGUGCCGGAAGGUUAAGAGGAGAGCUAAUCGCAAGAGAAGGCUUGAAUUGAAGCCCCGGUAAACGGCGGCCGUAACUAUAACGGUCCUAAGGUAGCGAAAUUCCUUGUCGGGUAAGUUCCG
rnacentral:rRNA from 1 species